rnacentral:rRNA from 1 species
UACAGAGGUCUCAAGCGUUGUUCGGAUUCAUUGGGCGUAAAGGGUGCGUAGGUGGCGGGGUUAGUCAGGUGUGAAAUCUCGGGGCUCAACCCCGAAACUGCACUUGAUACUGCCUUGCUAGAGUACUGGAGAGGAGAUUGGAAUUUACGGUGUAGCAGUGAAAUGCGUAGAUAUCGUCUGGAACGCCAAAGGUGAAAAACAGACUGCUGGGAGUGUGCUGACGCUGAGACACGAAAGCCAGGGGAGCAAACGGG